rnacentral:rRNA from 1 species
UGGCGGCGUGCCUAAUACAUGCAAGUCGAGCGCAGGAAACAAGUAGAUCCCUUCGGGGUGACGCUUGUGGAAUGAGCGGCGGACGGGUGAGUAACACGUGGGCAACCUACCUUGUAGACUGGGAUAACUCCGGGAAACCGGAGCUAAUACGGGAUGAUCAUUUGAAUCGCAUGAUUGAAAUGUAAAAGUGGGGAGUAAUCCUCACACUAUGAGAUGGGCCCGCGGCGCAUUAGCUAGUUGGUAAGGUAAUGGCUUACCAAGACAACGAUGCGUAGCCGACCUGAGAGGGUGAUCGGCCACACUGGAACUGAGACACGGUCCAGACUCCUACGGGAGGCAGCAGUAGGGAAUCAUCCGCAAUGGGCGAAAGCCUGACGGUGCAACGCCGCGUGAACGAUGAAGGUUUUCGGAUCGUAAAGUUCUGUUAUGAGGGAAGAACAAGUGCCGUUCGAAUAGGGCGGCACCUUGACGGUACCUCACGAGAAAGCCCCGGCUAACUACGUG